rnacentral:rRNA from 1 species
GGACUACUGGGGUAUCUAAUCCUGUUUGCUCCCCACGCUUUCGUGCAUGAGCGUCAGUGACGUCCCAGGGGGCUGCCUUCGCCAUCGGUAUUCCUCCACAUCUCUACGCAUUUCACUGCUACACGUGGAAUUCUACCCCCCUCUGACAUACUCUAGCCUUGCAGUCACAAGCGCCAUUCCCAAGUUGAGCUCGGGGAUUUCACGCCUGUCUUACAAAACCGCCUGCGCACGCUUUACGCCCAGUAAUUCCGAUUAACGCUCGCACCCUACGUAUUACCGCGGCUGCUGGCAC